UGUUUAACGUUUCCUAUAAUAAGCGUCAAAAUCUGGCCAGUGUAGAGGUACUAUCUCAUGAAAUAAGAAGAUUUCAUAAUAAUGUGGUUUUUACUCUUUAGAAAAUCGUCUGGACCUUAAAAAAGUGCAGCCCAUCUGACAAAAUUAAGCCAGCAGGGGCAUUUAGCCAGCCUUUGAUGAUGAUGUACAAUUAAUUUGAUGGGAGGAUGAGAACUUGACCAAAGUGCAGGUUUUGAUUUGCCACCGUGGUAGUGUUGAGAGCUCACCUUCCGUUAAGCUGCCCAGAGCUUUCCCAGACCUGGAGCAAAAGACUCCUGCCUGUGAGCUGAAGUGCCAUUAGGAGCUUUGAUUAUCACCACACAGUCACAACGCAGACAAUGUAGACAAUGACAGUCUAAACUGGGAUGUCUUUCUGAGGCCAGUGGAUGUGUUAAUAGACUUCCAGCUAAAUGUAACACAUAUAGACAUUUUAUAUAACAGAUACAACUAUACCAUGGACCUUAAUGGAAUAAAUCUAAGCAUCUGCCAGCUAUGCAUCUGCCACUAGACAUAAGGAGGCUCUGUGGUGGCCGGUAUUAGCGAGGCGCGUGAUUAAGGUGGAGCCUGCGGUGCUAGCAGAGCUAAGCUUUGGGUAUCCUGAGGGUGUGAGAGGAUCUCCUCAUGUGCUGAGGUCAGUGUUGGUUCAACCUGACUGAACGCCAGCUCACUGAACAAACUAUGACCUGUGCAGUCAUGUAACCCCUCAGUUGUGGAGGUAUUGAUAGUCAUGGCUCGGACCAGAUGGGAUUUUUUUUUUUUUUUUUUUUUUGUAUUUUAAUUGCACUGAUUUUGGUGGAAAUUCUGCAGAACUAGAUAGGGUGCCAUCGCCUUCCCAAAAUUCAGCAAGCCAGAUGGAUCCAAUAUUAUCCCCUACCCCCCAACACUUGUCAGAAGAGUGCUUACAGUCUUCACAGACCAGUAAUCUUGUGAAAGCGAGGCAGGUUACUGCUGGCAUCAAGUGUCACUUUGGGUAAAGUUGCUGUUGAUUUUCACCCAUAUUUUUUUUUUUAUUAUUAUUUUUUCAUUCCCCCGUCUGAGAAGGGGCGUGUUACUGUCAUUGCCAGCUGUGGUUGCUCAAAACUCCCGGUUGGGUGUGAGAGACAUCUCAUCUAAUGGCUGAGGAUGUUUCUCUCUGAAGCCUGUUAUCGUAGUCACAAAAGAGCUUAAUAACGGAGAUUUCAUUUAUGACUCUUGUUUCCUUUCAGACGAUACACUGGCAUCCCAGAGGAAAUACUUCCUGAUUACUGCAGUCAUGAAUUACAUGUAUUGAAUUAUAAAAAUGCCCAUAUUUUUCUCUCUGGAUGGGA
ensembl:lncRNA